rnacentral:sRNA from 1 species
AAGAAAAAAGAAAAAAAAAGAGGCCGGGCGCAGUGGCUCAUUCCUGUAAUCCCAGCACUUUGGGAGGCUGAGGCGGGCGGAUCACGAGCAGCCUUCCCUGCACCCACCAUUGCGGCUAUGGAUGGGUUUGCCUUGGGCGGAGGCCUAGAGCUUGCCCUGGCCUGUGACCUCCGAGUGGCAGCUUCCUCGGCCGUCAUGGGACUGAUUGAGACCACGCGAGGGCUCCUCCCGGGGGCAGGAGGGACUCAGAGGCUGCCCCGUUGUCUGGGGGUGGCCCUGGCGAAGGAGCUCAUCUUCACGGGCCGACGACUGAGUGGAACUGAGGCCCAUGUACUGGGGCUGGUGAAUCACGCUGUGGCCCAGAACGAGGAGGGGGACGCCGCCUACCAGCGGGCACGAGCACUGGCCCAGGAGAUCCUGCCCCAGGCCCCCAUUGCCGUGCGGCUGGGCAAAGUAGCCAUUGACCGAGGAAUG